rnacentral:rRNA from 1 species
UACGUAGGGUCCGAGCGUUGUCCGGAAUUACUGGGCGUAAAGAGCUCGUAGGUGGUUUGUCGCGUUGUCCGUGAAAACUCACAGCUUAACUGUGGGCGUGCGGGCGAUACGGGCAGACUGGAGUACUGCAGGGGAGACUGGAAUUCCUGGUGUAGCGGUGGAAUGCGCAGAUAUCAGGAGGAACACCGAUGGCGAAGGCAGGUCUCUGGGCAUUAACUGACGCUGAGGAGCGGAAAGCAUGGGGAGCGAACAGG